UUCGCCCUUAGAGUUUGAUCCUGGCUCAGAAUGAACGUUGGCGGCGUGGAUUAGGCAUGCAAGUCGAACGAAUCCCGGGUAGCAAUAUCCGGGGGAAGUGGCGAAAGGGGCAGUAAUGUAUGGGUAACGUACCCGGGGGUCGUGGAUAGCCUUCCUAACGGAUGGGUAAUACACGGCGAUUCGGCGAGGGGACAUCCUCUUGCCGGGAAAGAAUUUCGCCUCCGGAGCGGCUCAUAUCGUAUUAGCUAGUUGGUGAGGUAACGGCUCACCAAGGCGAAGAUGCGUAGCGGGUGUGAGAGCACGACCCGCGCCACUGGCACUGAGACACUGGCCAGACACCUACGGGUGGCUGCAGUCGAGGAUCUUCGGCAAUGGGCGAAAGCCUGACCGAGCGACGCCGCGUGGAUGAUGAAGGCCUUCGGGUUGUAAAAUCCUGUCGAGGGGGAUCAAGGGCAACUUGAGUGAUCCCUGGAGGAAGCACGGGCUAAGUUCGUGCCAGCAGCCGCGGUAAGACGAACCGUGCAAACGUUAUUCGGAAUCACUGGGCAUAAAGGGCGCGUAGGCGGCUCCAAAAGUCAGGGGUGAACUCCGGCAGCUUAACUGUCGCAGUGCCUUUGAUACUGUGGAGCUAGAGGGAGGUAGGGGUCUGUGGAACUUCCGGUGGAGCGGUGAAAUGCGUUGAUAUCGGAAGGAACGCCGGUGGCGAAAGCGACGGACUGGAUCUCUUCUGACGCUGAGGCGCGAAAGCCAGGGGAGCAAACGGGAUUAGAUACCCCGGUAGUCCUGGCCCUAAACGAUGGGUACUAGAUUGCGGACUUACAUGGGUUCGCAGUCGAAGCUAAUGUUUUAAGUACCCCGCCUGGGGAGUAUGGUCGCAAGGCUGAAACUCAAAGGAAUUGACGG
rnacentral:rRNA from 1 species